GUGGUCCUACGGGGGGCAGCAGUGAGGAAUAUUGGUCAAUGGUCGGGAGACUGAACCAGCCAAGCCGCGUGAGGGAUGAAGGUACAGAGUAUCGUAAACCUCUUUUGUCAGGGAACAAAGGCGGGGACGUGUCCCCGGAUGAGUGUACCUGAAGAAAAAGCAUCGGCUAACUCCGUGCCAGCAGCCGCGGUAAUACGGAGGAUGCGAGCGUUAUUCGGAUUUAUUGGGUUUAAAGGGUGCGCAGGCGGUCUGUUAAGUCAGCGGUUAAAGCCCGGGGCCUAACCCCGGGCCGCCGU
rnacentral:rRNA from 1 species